AGUAGAUUAUCAUUGAUGUUUCUAAUUAUCAGGAAUGGCUUUGCUGUGAGGCGUGUUCCUAAAGUGCCUUAAUCUUUACAAUAUGUUUUACAUUUAUGAAACAUUCAUUUGAUUUGACUUUAGUUGUAGUGUUUCCAUUUAAUAAAGCACAAAGCACUUGAAUUCUCAUUUUAAGUUGUACAGAAACAUUAAAAAUGUAAAUAUGAAGACUAAUGAGUGUGUCUCCUGAAUCUUAGGCUGCGUGAGCCGGAAAGUCAGCUCCCCGUUCCCUCACCUACUAAAAGAUGAUGAUGUCGUUAGCUGCUGCCUUGACCUCAGCAUUCCCUGCAUCUCAUUCCGGGUCAAUGGUCUACCUGUGCAGGGCAUGUUUGAGAACUUCAAUGCUAAUGGACUUCUUUAUCCUGUGGUCAGCUUCUCUGCUGGAGUAAAGUUAGUAUCAACACUAUUAUUGUUUUUUUUGGGUUGUUUUUUUUUUUUUAUGUUUUUUUUUUUUCAAGAAAUCCACAAAACAAUAAAUUUUCUCUUCCUCUUUUCUUGGAAAACAAAACAAGAGUUCGUUUUCUGUUUGGGGGAAGGCAUGGAGAGUUUCGCUUCCUGCCACCUCCAGGUUAUGCUUCUUGCUCUGAAGCUCUUCUCCCAAAAGUCAGACUGAAGGUACAGCUGUGUCAGGAAUACAUUUUGGAUCAUGGUGAAGGGAAACAAGAGCUUAUUGGCCCCUUAGUGCCUGUCACUCCAGUUACCUUCACUCCGACAACAAUAGAUAUCAGCAAGGUAAAUCUUGUUUUACAAAGAUGAAAUGUUUGUAUACUUAAAGUCUUUAUAACUAAUUUGUAGAGAAUCAUUUGCUCAGAGAAAUGACACCAUCUCAGAGUAGUUUAGCUACUUAUGCAGUACUUUUACCCUACAGGUGGUAUUGCCUCCACAACUUGAGGACAUUCGAGAAAAAAUGGCUGAGAAUAUCCACGAGCUCUGGGUAAUGGACAAGAUUGAUCUCGGAUGGACACAUGGACCAGUAAGAAAAGACACAAAAUGUAUAAUUUUAUAAAAUUGCAUAACUGAUAUGCAGUAUUGUAUAAAAGUCUUGAUCCACCCCUCAUUUCUUCAUAUAUUUAAAGAGGAAAAGGAAAAAUAAAUGCACUGAUUUAUUGAAACACAGAUAUCCAUGGAGUGAAGUAUGUAAGGCAAACAGAGUAAGUUUUAAUAAGCUUGAAAAUCAGUAUUUGGUGUGACGACCUUUAUUCUUCAACACAGCCUAAAUUCUGUUUGGCAAGCU
ensembl:lncRNA